UACCAAAGAAACAGAUUCUUGAGCUGCAAUAGUAAGAAUAUCAGCACAAGAAACAGUGGCAGGGCAAGCACUCUCCAAGCUAGCCUUCAUUUUAUCAACAACGUCAAAACCUCUGGCUGAGUUGUUAUUACCAGCAGCUUCUUUUUCGCCCUCCAUAGUAUCAGUGGUGUCCAACAAAAUUGAUCCAUCACAUCCAUUAACAA
rnacentral:misc_RNA from 1 species